rnacentral:sRNA from 2 species
ACUUUGCUAUGUAUUUGCUGAAGGCUCACAUGCGGGAUACCAUCGUUCACCUUCUUGAGUCAAUCAACAUACAGCAAAAGCAAAGCAUUCAUCUUCGAGCUGCCUUUUUCAAAAUCUCUUUCUUUACCAAGCUGCGUUUCAACAAGGACUGGCUGUAGUUGUUUGUUAGCACCAUCCACGGGUAAAAGCCACAUAUUUUCGCGCUUUUCAAUGGUUUUAUAUAAAUGUACUUACCGAUCAAUGAGCUCCAAGGGGUCAGCUUCCAAGUCUAUAAUUCUUGGGGGAAGACGAUGCUGGAGGCAAGGGGCUAUCGCGUCAAGGGGCUAUAUGUGUAAUAAAUGAUUGACGGUGUACCAGCAGAGAUGAGCUUUAGGGAAGAGUGUCCUCCUGAAGAAGA